AACAGAGAGAAAAGAAAACCAAAAACCAUUUCUUGGCUGGUUUGAAGAAAUUCUAAGGAGAUCCAAGUGAAAGCAAAGCCAAAGAAGUAGAUUAAGCUUAGUUCUAGCCUUUUUAUGGUAAGUUCUUGUACUUGGAAGUUAAACUAUGUUUUUGAAUUUUUCUGAAAGCUUAUAUAUGGUGUUUUAUCCUUUUUAAGAUAUUUCUUGGGGUUUCCAAGUGGUUUGAGGUUUAGAAAAGCUUGAAGAGAUUGUUUUCGCCGAAAAGUUGCUCGGAUAAGCAUAUCAACACCUAAGACAUCACUUGUUACACGGUGAAAUAUAUUGUGGACAAAAGGUAGAGAAAGAAAUAUGUGAAUGAUAUGAGGAGAACUGAAGCAUGGUCCUGACCCUGAUUUGUACAUAUGAACACAUCGACCUUUUUGUGGGUUAUUUCAGUUAUCAGUGAGAUGUUUGUAAUAAAGUGUGAAGUUAUGUUUUGAAAAUAAAUUGGGUUAUUUAAUACUUAUGUAUAAUAUGUUUGAGACACACUUUAUGUUUAAUGUAAAUAAUGUGAAAUAAGUUUUCAAGUUAAAAAAAAAAAAAAAAA